rnacentral:piRNA from 1 species
UGUAAGGAACCCAGAUAUCUGCAGACGGC